AGUAUCAGGUUUCGGCCGUGCUCCGAGCUGCAUGGCAGACAGUCUGUCUAAAUUUUCAACUAGCUACUUAUAAGAGAUUAUCUGCAGUGGAAUCCAUUAGAGUAUUCGUGCGCCUGCAGCCACUAGUUCAAAUAUCUGGAAAUGGAAGCUAUGCAACCUCGGAAAAUGACCUGUGAUCCGAUUGCAUCGAUGAAAGCGAUCUCCUUCGCGGAAAGUCUAUGUGUACACAAUACUACAAUGGGAAUAAGUGGUUAACAGGUUAAUAAUACUUCGGUAAGGCUGAAUUUAUGGUAAAAAGUCAAGAAAAAUUAUUUAAAGUACGGGCAAUUCAUAUUUGAAAAUCCGGUAUUUUUGGAACGUUUGAAAUGUACUUGUUACUUGAUUGCUUUCCCGAAUUGCUGUGAACUGCAUAUUAUAUGGGUAUCAGUUUGUUGUAGUAAUUACAGGUCCAAAUGUUAUUAAAUGGAAUUUUUAAUGUGGCUUGCAAUUUGUGUUACCGACUUUUUACGCAGCUUAUUAUUUCUAGCAAAUUACAUCUGCAUAUAUGUUGUGACGGUUGGCAAUGCUCUAAGUUUAGACUAAGGAAAUAACAGGAAAAAUGUAAU